AGGCGGGCGGCGCGGGGCUGCCGGGGAGGGGGAGGGGGCGGCACUUCCGGUCGGGCCCUCGGGUCUCCCCGGAGCGGCGGCGCCUCCUCCGCCUCCUCGGCCUCCUCCCGGCGGAGACCCCUGCGCCGGGUCGCCCGUCGCCCACCCCGCCCGAGAUGGAGGCAAACGCAGCCGGCAGCGCCGCCGGGGGUGGUGGGGGCAGCGGCAUAGGGGGCGAGGACGGGGUUCACUUCCAGAGCUACCCCUUCGACUUCCUGGAGUUCCUCAACCACCAGCGCUUCGAGCCCAUGGAACUCUACGGGGAGCACGCCAAGGCGGUGGCCGCGCUGCCCUGCGCCCCCGGGCCGCCGCCGCAGCCCCCGCCGCAGCCUCCUCCGCCCCAGUACGACUACCCGCCCCAGGCCACCUUCAAGCCCAAGGCGGAGGCACCGUCGUCGUCCUCGUCGUCCUCGUCGUCCUCGUCGUCGUCCUCAUCCUCUUCCUCGCAGGCCAAGAAGCCCGACCCGCCUCUGCCGCCCGCCUUCGGGCCCCCCCCGCCCCCCCUAUUUGAUGCUGCGUUCCCCGCCCCGCAGUGGGGCAUCGUCGACCUCUCUGGACACCAGCACCUUUUUGGGAACCUGAAGCGCGGAGGGCCCGCAUCCGGGCCGGGGGUGACGCCGGGGCUGGCGUCCCCCACUGGGACCCCGGGGCCGCUUCCCGCCCCCUCCCAGACCCCGCCCGGACCUGCCGCGGGGGCAGCCUGCGACCCAAGCAAGGACGACAAGGGCUACUUCCGCAGGCUGAAGUACCUGAUGGAGCGGCGCUUCCCCUGCGGCGUGUGUCAGAAGUCCUUCAAGCAGUCCUCGCACCUGGUCCAGCACAUGCUGGUGCACUCGGGGGAGCGGCCGUACGAGUGUGGCGUCUGCGGCCGCACCUACAACCACGUGUCCAGCCUCAUCCGCCACCGCCGCUGCCACAAGGACGUGCCGCCCGCCGCCGGGGGCCCGCCGCAGCCGGGGGCGCCGCUUCCGCCGCUGGGCCUGCCCGCGCCCGCGGCCGGCGCGCCCCCCACCGCCGCCCCCACCCCCGUGUCCUCCGGCCCCCCUGCCCCGCCCUCCGCCGCCGCCGCCACCGCCGGAGCUGCCACCGUGGCCGCCACCGUCGCGGAAGGCACCGGUGCCCCCGCCGGGGUGGGCGUCCCCCCUCCCGCGGCGGGGGGUGGCGAGGGCCCGUUUGCCUGCCCGCUCUGCUGGAAGGUCUUCAAGAAGCCCAGCCACCUCCACCAGCACCAGAUCAUCCACACCGGCGAGAAGCCCUUCUCGUGCUCGGUGUGCAGCAAGAGCUUCAACCGCAGGGAGAGCCUCAAGCGGCAUGUGAAGACGCACUCGGCGGACCUCCUGCGCCUGCCGUGCGGCGUCUGCGGAAAGGCCUUCCGCGACGCCGCCUACCUGCUCAAGCACCAGGCGGCGCACGCGGGCGCAGGCGCGGCGGGGCCUCGGCCUGUGUACCCCUGCGACCUGUGUGGCAAGUCCUACUCUGCACCCCAGAGCCUGCUCCGGCACAAGGCCGCGCACGCCCCACCCGCUGCCCCCGACGCGCCCAAGGACGUAGGGGCCUCCGUCCCGCAGCCCCCGCCCGCCUUCCCUGCGGGCCCCUACCUCCUGCCCCCUGACCCUCCGGCCACAGAUAGCGAGAAGGCCGCGGCGGCAGCGGCGGCAGUGGUCUACGGCGCCGUGCCCGUCCCGCUGCUGGGGGCCCACCCGCUGCUGCUUGGCGGGGCUGGGACCAGCGGGGCCGGGGGCUCCAGCGCCAGCGUCCCUGGAAAGACAUUCUGUUGUGGCAUCUGCGGGCGGGGCUUCGGGCGGCGCGAGACUCUGAAGCGCCACGAGCGCAUCCACACCGGCGAGAAGCCCCACCAGUGUCCCGUGUGCGGGAAGCGCUUCCGGGAGUCCUUCCACCUGAGCAAACACCACGUGGUGCACACCCGCGAGCGGCCCUACAAGUGUGAACUCUGCGGCAAGGUCUUUGGCUACCCACAGAGCCUCACCCGCCACCGCCAGGUGCACCGGCUCCAGCUGCCCUGCGCCCUGGCCGGGGCUGCCGGCCUCCCGGCCACCCAGGGCGCGCCAGGGGCCUGUGGACCGGGCGCCUCGGCUACUUCUGCGGGGGCCGCGGAUGCACUGAGCUACGCCUGCUCGGACUGCGGCGAGCACUUCCCCGAUCUCUUCCACGUGAUGAGCCACAAGGAGGCUCACAUGGCAGAGAAGCCCUACGGCUGUGAUGCGUGCGGCAAGACCUUCGGCUUCAUCGAGAAUCUCAUGUGGCACAAGCUAGUCCACCAGGCAGCCCCUGAGCGCCUGCUCCCGCCUGCACCCGGCGGCCCUCAGACCCAGGAUGGCUCCAGCAGUGCCGACGCGGCCAGUGUGCUGGACAACGGGCUGGCGGGAGAGGUGGGGGCGGCUGUGGCAGCACUGGCAGGGGUGUCCGGGGGUGAUGACGCCAGCGGGACGGCGGUGGCUGGGGGCGGUGGGGGUGCCAGUUCAGGUCCUGAGCGUUUCAGCUGUGCCACGUGUGGCCAGAGCUUCAAGCAUUUCCUGGGCCUGGUGACUCACAAGUAUGUGCACCUGGUGCGGCGGACCCUAGGCUGUGGCCUCUGUGGCCAGAGCUUCGCUGGUGCCUACGACCUGCUCCUGCACCGCCGCAGCCACCGGCAGAAACGGGGCUUCCGCUGCCCAGUGUGCGGCAAGCGCUUCUGGGAGGCAGCCCUGCUGAUGCGCCACCAGCGCUGCCACACCGAGCAGCGGCCCUACCGGUGCGGUGUGUGCGGUCGAGGCUUCCUGCGCUCCUGGUACCUGCGGCAGCAUCGCGUGGUGCACACGGGCGAGCGCGCCUUCAAGUGCGGCGUGUGCGCCAAGCGCUUCGCGCAGUCCUCCAGCCUGGCGGAGCACCGGCGGCUGCACGCUGUGGCCCGGCCCCAGCGCUGCGGCGCCUGCGGCAAGACCUUCCGCUACCGCUCCAACCUGCUGGAGCACCAGCGGCUGCACCUGGGGGAGCGCGCCUACCGCUGCGAGCACUGCGGGAAGGGCUUCUUCUACCUGAGCUCCGUGCUGCGCCACCAGCGCGCCCAUGAGCCGCCGCGGCCUGAGCUCCGGUGCCCCGCCUGCCUCAAGGCCUUCAAGGACCCUGGCUACUUCCGUAAGCACCUGGCGGCCCACCAGGGCGGCCGGCCCUUCCGCUGCUCCUCCUGCGGCGAGGGCUUCGCCAACACCUAUGGCCUCAAGAAACAUCGCCUGGCUCAUAAAGCCGAGGGUCUCGGGGGUCCUGGGGCGGGGGCGGGCACCUUGGCCGGAAAGGACGCCUGACCAGGAGGGGCGUUCUGAUCCGC